UUGUAAAUUUUAAAUUCCCAUUAAAUUUUUCACUAUCCAAACACUUCACAAUAAACUCGCCCAAGAUCAAAUCCCCCUAAAUCGAAACUUCUUCGAGACGAAAGAGCGAUCUCUUUCCAUGGCGAACGGAGAUGAGAGAACGCCGUGGAAUAGUAUAGAAGAGCCUAACCCUAGCUCUUCGGUUCCUUGGAUUUCUUCUCAACUCCAUUUCUCUGACUAAACUUGAUAAUGGCGGCAACAUCGAGCGCCAUUGUUUUUGCAACGGCGGAAUCUACUCGGAUCACUUUCUUUCUCGCUGAUCGCGACGGAAUAAUGGCUGCUCUUCAGAAAUUUCUUUCUCCUGGUGGCUCACCUUAUGUUAGUAUGCAACCUUUGAGUUACUCUAGCAAGAUGCAUGACUCAAUUUGCAAGUAUGGAAACAAAUUGUAAAGUGGAGCUUGAUCUCUCAGAAAAUUGUUAUCUCGCGUUAUCUUUCUGCUAGGCCAUUUUCUAGAACUUUUGGGUAGGUCUGGAAUGAACUUCUUGAACAAGAACUGUUACCUAUAAUAUGCCAUGCCCUCCCAUUGAGUUACAAUGUUGGAGAAGAGGUAUUCUCAUAUUGAAAAGGAUCACAGGCUAGAAGUUUUGGUGCAGUUGAAUCUUAAAUACGGCCCCACCUUCACGGGGUAUGGGUAAUGGAAACAUUCCCAAUGCUGCCAUUAAUCAAAGGAUGGAAAGUCUUAUUUGUAUGCGGAAAGCUACAAAGGCAGUACUGAUACGGAAACAACCUCAAUCAGCAGGUUAUAAAUUGGGAAUGCAAAGGAAGGACAAGAAAAAGAUGCAGUAUGAUUUGAAGGAUCUGCAGUAUGAUUUCAGGUUAAGGUGAAGAGAAGGGAAGAUGAUACCAAAUAUGUUGCCAAGUGAUUGAAUUGCAGGUUUUAGCCAGAGGCGUUGAUUGUGAUAUAGCUUUGCUAUCAGUAGAAAGCAAGGAAUUUUGGAAAGAAGCUAAACCUCUCUAUUUAGGACAUUUGCCACGUCUUCAGGUAACAUCAUAUGCUCAUGGAUGGGUCAUCCGAUUUGUUGGGCACUCAAAUUGAUGCAGCAAUAAAUCCUUGUUUGUUUGUAUCUGAAAUUUAUAGUUCUACUCUUUUCUUUAUUGAUAUUUUUCCAAUUUAUGUAUUUUCCUUCCAGAAAUAGCUCACCUGUCUCAAAUAUUCAAAACUUUAUUUCUUUUAAUGACAUUUCUUUAUAUACUCGUGAUUACCUUUGCUUAUAGUGAUAUUUCUGUGGUUUUAAUUGAGUAUUCUCUUAUUUCUUGUGCUUAUAGGAAGGAGAAUUUAUGUCUAUGGAUUUCCAAAUGAGACAUGGGAAGUUAAUCUAUCUGUUGAGUAGGUGCCUCCUGAGCUUUCAGAACCAACCUUAGGUACAAAUCACGCUAGGGAUGAGAUGCAAAAGAAAGAUUGGUUGUCACUAGUUGUCAACGCAAUUGUUGAACAAAUAUUUAUUUUAGAGCAAGUUAACCCUUUUCAGUGUUGUUUUACCUAUAAUAGUGGAAUUGAGUGCCCAACUCAUAUUGAAAACUACUUGUAUUGUGAGAGUAAUUAUACGCUAUCUUUUGUAUA